AUGCAAGAGCUAUUCACAGGCACUAGUGCUGAUGGUUCUUUAGCCAUGGACCAGCAUACAUGCACAAUUGAUUCUCAUGACUCGGAUAAUGAUGAAGGGUUGUAUGACCUUAAUUGCUAUCCACAAUAUGACUAUAUGAGGGCCCUCUUGAGGAGGAUUCUGACACUUUGCCAACAACAUAUGGUCUUAAAAGACCUCCAGUUCAUGUACGUGCUGAUAAUUCCUCAUCUAGCAGUAGCCGAGUUGUCACUCCAGCAAUCUCUUGCUGCCCCUGCUCCUCAAAUGCCCCAAGUUAUUGACCCAUAUGCUAGUUUAUGGCACAGGUUGGAGGUACUCCCAAUUACCAUGGAUCAAAGAAUUACUAUUGGUAUGCACUUGUCUAGCAAGAACAAUGAAGGUUUGCGUGGUUGGUUAUGUUGUGCAAGUGACAAAACUUUUGAAACUUGGGUUUGGAAGUUCUUUGACAAAGAUGAUGUUUAG
rnacentral:rRNA from 1 species